AGUUCUAUGACCCUCCAUUGAGGUGCUUCACAUUCCCGGAUUAUGUUUUGGUCCCUACUUUGGAGGAGAUUGCCAGUUUUCUCAUCCAGUUUUCUCAGAGUUCCCAUCAAGUCACAGUUGCUAUUCUACAGCUCGGAGUGUCUGCCCGAUCUCAGCAUGGUUGCUUCAACCACAUAUUUGAGGGAAUCAGUCUUGAAGGCUAAUAUGUGUCAUAAGGG
rnacentral:lncRNA from 1 species